CCGGAAGAGAUCAGAAGUCAUGAGAUGCCCUUAACUACUUUGGAAGACUCUGGAAAGAUUCCACAAAUCCUGCCACUUAUUUCUUGACUUCAGAAAAGAAAGCAAAUUUUUACGGUCAACUAAUAAUUGUCAAUGGAGUCAAGAAUACUAAGUAAUGAGUCUCUUUACUAAAUGGUGCUGGAAUAAUUGGAAAGUCAUAUGUAAAAUAAUGAAAUAAGACCUACAUCUUACACCACUCACAAAAAUUAUCUUGAGUGGAUUAAAGACUUACAGUACUUUUUAGCAUCAGCAGCUGGGUUCCAGUAAUUGACUGCUGAUUACUGUGUAAAGAAGUGAA